rnacentral:rRNA from 1 species
AGUGAACGCUGGCGGUAGGCCUAACACAUGCAAGUCGAACGGCAGCACAGGAGAGCUUGCUCUCUGGGUGGCGAGUGGCGGACGGGUGAGGAAUACAUCGGAAUCUACUCUGUCGUGGGGGAUAACGUAGGGAAACUUACGCUAAUACCGCAUACGACCUACGGGUGAAAGCAGGGGAUCUUCGGACCUUGCGCGAUUGAAUGAGCCGAUGUCGGAUUAGCUAGUUGGCGGGGUAAAGGCCCACCAAGGCGACGAUCCGUAGCUGGUCUGAGAGGGUGAGCGGCCACACUGGAACUGAGACACGGUCCAGACUCCUACGGGAGGCAGCAGUAGGGAAUAUUGGACAAUGGGCGCAAGCCUGAUCCAGCCAUACCGCGUGGGUGAAGAAGGCCUUCGGGUUGUAAAGCCCUUUUGUUGGGAAAGAAAUCCAGCUGGCUAAUACCCGGUUGGGAUGACGGUACCCAAAGAAUAAGCACCGGCUAACUUCGUGCCAGCCGCCGCCGUAA